rnacentral:rRNA from 1 species
CCUACGGGAGGCAGCAGUGAGGAAUAUUGGUCAAUGGACGAGAGUCUGAACCAGCCAAGUAGCGUGAAGGAUGACUGCCCUAUGGGUUGUAAACUUCUUUUAUAUGGGAAUAAAACGUUCCACGUGUGGGAUUUUGUAUGUACCAUAUGAAUAAGGAUCGGCUAACUCCGUGCCAGCAGCCGCGGUAAUACGGAGGAUACGAGCGUUAUCCGGAUUUAUUGGGUUUAAAGGGAGCGUAGGUGGAUUGUUAAGUCAGUUGUGAAAGUUUGCGGCUCAACCGUAAAAUUGCAGUUGAAACUGGCAGUCUUGAGUACAGUAGAGGUGGGCGGAAUUCGUGGUGUAGCGGUGAAAUGCUUAGAUAUCACGAAGAACUCCGAUUGCGAAGGCAGUUCACUGGACUGCAACUGACACUGAGGCUCGAAAGUGUGGGUAUCAAACAGGAUUAGAUACCCCUGUGGUC